CCCCGUACGUUGUUGAUACAGGUAACCGAGGUGUGGCCAGGCGCACAGGUGGAAAGGGAAGAGGGGAAAAAAAAGCCAGCUCAUCAUCUGGCAGCCGUUAUUUCUCUUCCUGUCCUGGACUGCAGCGCUGAGCUCCGGGUAUGGCCCCGAGUGGCGUGGGGAAGUGCCCGUUGUUUUUCUUCCUCGCCCUGGCGUUCGACGCCGGCGGCCUGGCGGUGCUCCUCGUCGGUAUUUUCGGCAACUUGACCGCAGACGGCCGCUUCUACGGGGACUUCCUCAUCUACACGGGCUCCGUCAUCAUCUUUUUCAGCCUGAUGUGGUGGGUGUUGUGGUACACGGGGAACGUGCACCUGUACGCGCCGGGAUACAGGAGGGACUCUCUGGACGCCAGCCUCACGCAGUGGGCCAGGAAGUUGUCCGAGAGGUUCUCCAAGGGCGGCGGCAAGAAGCCCCUGGAAGCGGCGGAAGAUGAGGAGGAGAUGAAGAAAAAGAAGAUGGGUGGAGAGGUGGUGAAGGCGAAGGGGACCGUUCGCUUCUCUGCGCCGCCUCGGAUUACAUGGGAAUCCAGCGGCGGCGGUCAGGAUAACGGGGGCUUCGACGGAUGGAGCGAGUGCGCGUCUCCGGCUGAUAAAAACGUGGAGCUGGGGGUCCUGGCGGAGGCGGUUUGGCAGACGGGAGACACUAAAGCAGAGAGGCUCCUCUGACACAACAUGAUGCCAUAGCCGGUGCUCCUGGACCUGAGCUACUUCCUGUUUUUGCAGUUUGUUUUUUUUUCCUUCUCCCCUGCAAUUUCAACAGACUUUAACAUUUAAACUUGUGAGCGAAAGUCACGUUUAUGAGAACAUCCUGCUUGGUGUCAAGCUCUCAAAAAUAAGAAAAGCUGACGGGAUGAAGAAAAUUUACAUUUUAGUUUUAUGUUUUCUGUGUCACUAUAUGUAUAGUUGUGUCUAAAUUAUUUUUGGAAAUAAAGUCCAAAGACAUUUAAAUGUGGUUGUGUGACUCUGAGCAGUGGAUGCUGUCUGCUUUACUGAAAGAGACUACGUUGAAAAGGUAAUCCUUAAUGAAGUUUUAAAUGUCUAUAAUUACAAACAAAUGUUUGGGAUUUAACACAUAUGGAUAAUUUCUUUCUACUUUUUCCAAAUAUACCUGUGGCUGAGCUACAGCUGGGUCUGUAAGGGAAGGAAAGCACAUUCGUCUACGGAGCCAGAAUAUCUCUUAUCUUUAAGGGAAUGUAUUUCUCUGGUGCCAGCGGGUGGUUUUUAAAAAAAAUUAAGAUGUAGAGAUAGAAGGAAUGUGACCUGAAUGUUUAAGCUCUUUCCGUGUCAUCUGUCAUCCCGCUCACUCCUCGUGAGGUGCUGUGUGAAGAAUGGAAAGAAUAAAACUAACUUUCACAAGUUACCGCUCUCAGAUCGGCCGCUGCGUAGGAUUUUUCUUCGUCGCCGUCCUCCUGGAUGCGGUUGGCCUCGUCGUCUUCGUCACUGGGAUCGCCUCGCCCGUCGGCUACUGGGACUUUCUUGUCCUUUCUGGGCCGCUAAUUGUGUUCCUCAGCCUGGUGUUUUGGAUUUUGUGGUACAUCGGAAACGUAGAGGUGCCGACCGAGGAGCUGACUCCAGUUUGAGGCUCCUCUUCAGCAACUGUUUAUCGCCUUUCGCUGGAUGAGGAAACUAAUCCAGCUACAGGUGCUUUUGUGCUUGGAGUCUAUCUCGAAGGACAAACUUAUGGAUCCGUAAUCUGAAAAGACGUCUUGUGCUUCAAGACUUCUUGUGCUUCAGACCAUGAAAGGUGCAAUCGUUGAGACUCUUUUGUAUUUUGACAAAUAGGCCUGGAUGAUGUUUACUCCAACUUGCCCCCAGAAAAGCCAAGAUGAAAAGGAACACACAACAAUAGCAAAUUGCUGUAGUUAUUUUUAAUUAGCAUUAUUUUUGAGUCAUUUUGUUCCCAACUAAUAUUAUGUUAUAGCCAUUUGGGUUUCUUUUGUGUUCGUAUUCCGUCUUUUGGGUCCUUUUUAAAUUCACAUUGUCCCUGUUUGAUUCAUCCUUUACCUUUUUAUCUCAAACUUGAGUUCUUUGUAAGCAUUUUCUUUGUUUGGGAUCUUGUGCAUAAUUUUUUGUUAAAAUUCCACCCCUAAGCUGCGCUUUUGUACCUCCAUUGCUACGCUGAGGCUCUUUGCUGUCCUUUUGUGAUGAACACAUUUCACAAAUUGUCCUGAUUACUGUGGUGUUGCUUUUGUGCAAAUAUUCCUCAAAUCUAAAUAGUGAGCGGUCAAAUAAGUUUUUGAUUCCUACACAACUUCUUUUUUGUUUUCUCAUUCAGACUGAUCAUAUUUCUCCUAAAAUAUUUUGUUUAAAAAAAAAAUGACUUCAUCUAGCACUGAAUUCCCUUCUUUGAAUCGUAUGGCUUUUUGAAGUUGCAUUGUUUCAAAUGGGAACAUAAUAAAAGCAAUUCAGAUUAGCGUCUUAGUUUGACUUGUUGGCACUUUUAGAAACAUGGACAAGCUUUUGGAUUGUCAAAGGAUGUACACCAAACUCAACUAUGAACUUUAUUGAAAAGAAGAACCCAAACGGUGUAGGUUUAAAGGUUCAUUUUCACCAGCUUGUGCAUAGGACAAACUCCGGGGUAAGGACAGGGAAUAAAGCUGAAGGCUAAUUUGAAGUUCCCAAAUUUCACUUCUGGUCUUUGUGGUUGACGAAGAACCUGAUCUACCUUUGCAGUCCUUGUGGACGAAGCACUACGUGGUGUUUCAUCGACCACGAAGCCUACAUCAGCCAGGUCCUUUGAGGGACACAGCCCCUCCAUUUGGACACACCCUAUCUGUUAGAAAAUGUAUGUAAUUUAAAAAAUAUUAAUAAUUAGUUUAUCAAAUCAAAGAUGCUAUUACACCUUUUCGCUUUUCUCUCAUGUAUCAAUGUGUAAAUAAACGUCUAAUCCCAACAAA